rnacentral:rRNA from 1 species
UGGGGAAUAUUGCACAAUGGGCGCAAGCCUGAUGCAGCCAUGCCGCGUGUGUGAAGAAGGCCUUCGGGUUGUAAAGCACUUUCAGCGAGGAGGAAGGGUAGUGUGUUAAUAGCACAUUGCAUUGACGUUACUCGCAGAAGAAGCACCGGCUAACUCCGUGCCAGCAGCCGCGGUAAUACGGAGGGUGCAAGCGUUAAUCGGAAUUACUGGGCGUAAAGCGCACGCAGGCGGUUUGUUAAGUCAGAUGUGAAAUCCCCGCGCUUAACGUGGGAACUGCAUUUGAAACUGGCAAGCUAGAGUCUUGUAGAGGGGGGUAGAAUUCCAGGUGUAGCGGUGAAAUGCGUAGAGAUCUGGAGGAAUACCGGUGGCGAAGGCGGCCCCCCUGGACAAAGACUGACGCUCAGGUGCGAAAGCGUGGGGAGCAAAACAGGAUUAGAUACCCUGGUAGUCCACGCUGUAAACGAUGUCGACUUGGAGGUUGUGCCCUUGAGGCGUGGCUUCCGGAGCUAACGCGUUAAGUCGACCGCCUGGG